AACUCUGCUUCAGAAACCAGUAGGUGACAGACAUUACAUCCAUGUCCUAUACAAUUUUUGUUUUCUCUGUAUCUUCACAAAACAAUAGGUGAAGUCACCAAACUAUCUACGGGUUUUCUACAGUGUAUGAUCAAAUGUAUAUUUAUCAUUGAUUGUUUGGUCAGUAAAUAAUGAAAAAAAUAGUGAAAAUACAUAAAUCCUGGUUAAUCAAUUUAAACAUCUUGUCUUGCUCUUUCAACUCUCCAAGACUAUGGAAGAAUAUAUCCAAAAAAAAAAGUUCAGCAAGGGAAAAAAAAGGCUUUAAUGAAAAUGACCUCUUAGUGUUUUGCGCUACAAAGAAACUGGUUUGAAUAUUUAGUUUGUGUCCUGUGCCAAUAACCUCUUUUUAUGAAGCAAAUUUCAAAAUAAAAGUUACAAGGAGCAAAUUUAAACAUGCUUCUAGGCAAUCGUUGAAAGACAUACUUUUAUCAAGUCUCUACAUCUCCUUGUUGUAGUCAUAGUUUCCCUUCUUGAUGUUAGUGUACAGUAUGCUGCUUGUAUGUCUCCCCCUCCUCUAAUUCUCAUUCCAAUCUCGCCCUCACCAUCACUGUCUCCCUCCCUCUGUCUCCCUCCAUCCCUCACUCUCACUCCCCCUCUGUCUCUCUGCUCCUUCUCUCAGCAGUAAGCCCUCUAAUCUCUCCUGUUCAAUCGCCUGGCAGACACAUGCCCUCUGUCUGCAGAGCCAGCGGGGAUGUUUCCUGUGCAGGUGUACCACAGAGCAUGCACAAUAGGUACGAAGAGCACGGGGAGCGUGGCGGCUUUAGUAUGACGAGCAGGGCAGGUUGCAUGAUAAGUAUGCUGAGGAUGGUUAUAGGUAUGGAGAGUAAACAUGGCAGCUAUAGCGGAUGCAGCAGGUCCAGGGCACAGGGUGAUCACAGG